GCCACCUGUGUGGAAUGGGGAAACUGUCAGGUGACAGGCGCUCUGCUUGCUCCACUUUUGCAGAGCUGUGCCACCCUCCUGAGAACGCCUCCCACCAGCACUGGCACUCUGGACUCCCUGUCUGGCUGUCACAGAAUACAGGAGUAAUGCCACUUCAGCACAUACUCCGUCAUUUUUUAUUUAAGCUUUAUUUAUUUAUUUGACAGGCAGAGUUAUGGACAGAAAGAGGGAGAGAAAAAGAGAAAGAUCUUCCACCUGCUGGUUCACUCCCCAGCUGGCUGCAAAGGCCAGAGCUGGACUGAUCGGAAGCCAGGAGCCAGAGUUUCUUCUGGGUCUCUCAUGCGGGUGCAGCGGUCCAAGCACUUGGGCCAUCUUCCACUGAUUUCCUAGGCCAUAGGAGAGAGCUGGAUCAGAAGGGGAGCAGCUGAGACACUCACUGGUGCCUAAAUGGGAUGCCAGGACUGCAGGCAGAGGCUUAGCCUACUACACCAGAGCACCCGCCUGCCUUGACUCAGUCAUUUAUAUGCUGCUGUGUGAAACCCAGAUCUGUUCUCCAGGACCUGCAUCAAAGGACUCUGCCUUCAGCCCUCUAUAAAAUCCUCCAGAAUUUGGAUAACAGAUUUUACUGUUGAGCUUGGAUUGUCUAUUUGAUGAUGUAAAUCGUUGAACACGUAAUUUGUCCAUUACUCAGUUACCUGUUUUUCACAGCUUGAAAGAACUGCAAGCUACCAAGCUCUCCUCGGUUCUGCCCUGCACAAGACAAUGUAGGAGGGUUGUUCUCAUGAAUCCUCUUGCUUACUGGCUGGCGCCCCGGCUCAACAGGCUAAUCCUCCACCUACGGCACCAGCACCCUGGGUUCUAGUCCCGAUCGGGCCGCUGGACUCUGUCCCGGUUGUUCCUCUUCCAGUCUAGCUUUCUGCUGUGGCCCGGGAGGGCAGUGGAGGAUGGCCCAGAUCCUUGGGCCCUACACCUGCAUGGGAGACCAGGAGAAGCAUCUGGUUCCUGGUUUCGGAUCAGCGUGGUGCGCCGGCCACAGUGCUCCGGCUGCAGCGGUCAUUGGGGGGCGAACCAAUGGAAAAGGAAGAAUUUUCUCUCUGUCUCUCUCACUGUCCACUCUGCCUGUAAAAAAAAAUAUCCUCUUGCUAGACAGAGGCCACACAGUAUUCUUUGAGAACACAAGUUUUUGUUCAGUUCAGAGUAGCUUAGAUUUAGAGCUGGAUGAACUUCUUAUUUGGGACAUGGAAUAUGGUGAUGGCAGAGGUUCUCCUAGGUCCCGAGCUCUGUGGAUCACACUCUUCUGGGUUCUGAAAGUUGGGAGACAGGAUGAAAUGAGACCUUGUGCUGUCACUUUGAAAAGCUUUCAAACCCAACCUAGAAAAGACACCAAAGUAGAUCUGUACAUAAGCAUGUAGACACAUAUAACCUCAUAGCUACUUAAAAUAGCAUUCACUGGUACUUACAAAGCAUUGCCUUCCAGAGUGGGGCCAUUUAUUUUUGGUUAGAACAAAAUAGCCUCCACACAGCCAUUAACUUCUAUCUGCUUUCUGCUUCUCUUGAAGUUGGGACAGAAUAAGGACCAAUAGGCUUUCCCAGAGUACUGAGACAAAACAAGGUUGAAAUGCAUCCAGAUUUUCAUAAAUAUGCAGCAUUUAGUAACCCCAAUUCAGUACAAAUAUUAGCCUAAUAUGCUAAAUAUCUGCCAUCUCUUCAGAGCACAAAUGUCCUUUGCACAUAUAAUUAGAAGGCAGAAAUGUUAGCUAUUUGCCCCCUUAUCUGGCAUAUGCAGGGAAAGAUUUAUAGCUGCAAAAUGGGAAACAAUUUUUUCCCCCAAAUUUAGUCCAAGUUGUGAGGGAUUUGUGUGAAGGCUUUCAAACAGAAUUCAUGGCACUUUAUAUAUGUCUUUUGAGUUUUUGUUGUUUUAAUUAGAAAGCAGUGCCUGGUUGGGGAAGUAAACCAGGAACAAGCUUUCUGUUGACUCCCAAAUGUGAUUAAUUCAGCUGUCACCUUUCUACAUUGCUUUCUUAAGCAUUUAUACAUUGUGUGUAUAUAUAUAUAUAUAUCUGGUACAUAUGUCUUUUUUUCUUUUGUUAGACAGAUACAUGAUCCUAAAACAGGAAUUAGGGUAAAACUGACUUUUAUACUUAUUACCUAGAAAUCUGACUUUCUUUCAGAAAACGAUGUGAUAUUCCAUAGGGUGGACAUUCUGAAAUUUAUUCGACCAUCUUCUAAUAAAUGGGCCCACAGUGUUGUUAUUUUACA
ensembl:lncRNA